rnacentral:lncRNA from 1 species
CAAAAACCAAAAAACCCUCUUCCUUAACUGUACACUCCCUCAACAGGACAUACCAUCAUAACAGAAAAGCAUACAUGUAGUUUUGAAUACAACUGGAACUCUUCAUCACUAGCAGCAUCACUGCAUAGGACAAGUAGACAAGACCCCCAAAAGCAAGUACUCCGGAGCCAGUGAUCAAGGGCCACUGUUUCAGCCAUCAUUUCAGGAGCUCGGACUCUCAGGAAUCACUCAUCUGAAGCUUACAACAGUUCACAGCAAUGGACGUGUAGAGGGCAGGGAACCAGGAGAGCUGGGCUGGGAAAGACAAUCCAACAAAAGAAUAGUGUGAAGUGAAGGCACAGCACACCUUCCAGGCCUGAUUCACGAAUAAGGUGGAGAGAACACAACCCAGAGAGCACCAUCCCGCCGAGACCGCAAACAAGGCAGACUGGCCGGCCGGGACCGCAGUCCCGAUUUGGGUGCUGGGACCUUGACAAUAAGGCCAGCGCGGCCACGAAACGCAAGUCUCCAUUAGCAUGCUUUCCCCGGGCGAGCGCGGCAUGGCUCCUGAGCGACAGACCUUCCGAAAUCCACUAGGCACGGCGGCCCCAGGAGGGGAGCAGAGUGGGGUCAGCACGGGCGACGACUGCAGGAAGCCGAGUCUUCCCAGGCCGGGGUUGGCGG